CUUCCAGUAGCACCUUAGAGACCAACUAAGUUUGUUAUUGGUAUCUGAAGAAGUGUGCAUGCACACGAAAGCUCAUACCAAUAACACACUUAGUUGGUCUCUAAGAUGCUACUGGAAG